rnacentral:ncRNA from 2 species
ACGCGUGCUCCGGGGUCGGUGAAACUCCGAACCGGCGGUGAAGCCUUUGUGGCGGGGCGAAGUCCGCGACCCGGCCGAAGCCAUCGGCCGGUGGAUCUGGUGAGAAUCCAGAACCGACGGUGAAAGUCCGGAUGGGAGGCAGCGCGCGA